UUGUUGGUGUAAUGCUAUGGAAUUGUCCUAUGGGAGUUGUUGACUAACCGAAUGCCAUUUGAAGGCAUGUCAAACUUGCAUGCUGCUUAUGCUGCUGCCUUUAAGGUG